rnacentral:rRNA from 1 species
UACGGAAGGCAGCAGUGGGGAAUAUUGCACAAUGGGCGCAAGCCUGACGCAGCCAUGCCGCGUGUAUGAAGAAGGCCUUCGGGUUGUAAAGUACUUUCAGUCGUGAGGAAGGUGUUAAGGUUAACAACCUUAGCAAUUGACGUUAGCGACAGAAGAAGCACCGGCUAACUCCGUGCCAGCAGCCGCGGUAAUACGGAGGGUGCGAGCGUUAAUCGGAAUUACUGGGCGUAAAGGGCACGCAGGCGGUUAAUUAAGUUGGAUGUGAAAUCCCCGGGCUUAACCUGGGAAUGGCAUUCAAGACUGGUUAGCUAGAGUCUUGUAGAGGGGGUAGAAUUCCAUGUGUAGCGGUGAAAUGCGUAGAGAUGUGGAGGAAUACCGGUGGCGAAGGCGGCCCCUGGACAAAGACUGACGCUCAUGUGCGAAAGCGUGGGGAGCAAACAGGGAUUAGAUACC